UGGCUCAGUGGUAGAGUACUUGCCUUGCAUGCAUGAGGCCCUGGGUUCGAUUCCUCAG
rfam:Dipodomys ordii contig_73488, whole genome shotgun sequence.